rnacentral:tRNA from 1 species
AAUAAGGUGCCUGAAUAAAGGAUUAUUGUGAUAGAAUAAAUAAUGCAAAAAAACUUGCCCUUAUUA